AUAUAAGGUAAGUAUUUCAUAAAUGAUUCUCAUUAACUAUAAAUCCACAAAAAUUUCAUGUUCACAUUCAUCUGACUGGCCUCAUUUGGCCUUCUACAGAAUGUUUGAAGUUUGAUUAAAAAUAAUCUACUGAUAAAUAUUUAUUGAUAGAACACUGAAAGGUGAAGUCUACUGGUGAAAACAUUGUUCCUUCAUUACCAGAAAUGAAGUGGAGACUGCUGCUUAGAAUAAAUGAAUAUACAGAAUCACAUGGCUGGUACAUGGUAACCUGGAACUUCUAGAACAAACCAUCUGAGCCUGAACUUGAAAUGAGCUGGGCAGCUUCUUACCAUCUGUCUAUGAAUAGUCCAGAGAUACCAGAGGGUGCCCUUUGAGCCUUUGGUGAAUAGGUGAAAACUUCAAAUGUUGAUACUCAGGAGGAAGGAGUUAGAUUGACCCAACACUUGAUGGAACACUUAUUUUUAACUUAAUGCAGCCAUAAAAGUGUUUAUAACACUUGGGGCUUUGAGUUCUUCAAUUAAGGAAGAAUUUCUAUAGAGUAUACUUUUCCCUAUAAAAUGUAUUUAGCCAUUGAUAACUCUAUGUAGCUCUGUGAAAUAUGUGCUUAUUAGACAGAUCAGGUGUUUUGGCUAUGAAUAAGAUGAAUAAUUGUGUUUGAAAUAAAAUAUAUUUAUAAAUAAUUUUGAUUCUGAAUAUUUAAAAACUAUUAACUACUGUUUGAAUAAGUCUUUGUCCAAAACAUAUAUAUAUAUACAUUUUAUAAAAUAUAUAGAAUAUAUGUAUAUAUAUAAAAUACAAACAUAGAUAAUCAUAUGUAAUAUAGAUGGUAAUAUAACUGUACCUUCUGUGGCUAUUAUGAGCUUCACUGGUCACCAGCUCUAGGAUAUGGGGCAUCAGGUACUCAAGAGUGGCAGCAAGAAACGUAAGCAUGGAAGAGUCCAGGCACUGGGCACAGCAGAUCUCCCACAAGAGGUGUCCAAACAUAUCAUGGAGAAUUGCAGCUCUGCUCUUGCUAAGAAGGACAAGAUGUUGGAGGACCCAAUGUAUUUGGGAGCUUGUAGUCUCAACUGUGCCCACCUGGAGUUCAUGGGGCUGAUAAUGAUGGCUGGAAGACACUCAAGAGGCAGAUGGUGGUAAUGUACACACCUCUGCCCACUCUGUGAACAUAGAAAACAUGUUUGCAUGCACUAUCACUGAGGAAAUGCUUGAAAUUAAAAGAAGUCAUUGUCUGUGAAGCUGCUUUGGAGAAUAUGACCAAGAUGUUGGCUAUAGCCAGGUGCUUGAGAAUCAAAUCUGUGGACUUUAAUAUCCACCUGGUAUAACAAAGUGGCAAAAAAAUAAAUUCCCCAAUAAUCCAACUGUUGUCUGAGAAAAGAAGAUUAUUCCUAUUUCCAAAUUCCUGGAGGCCAUUCAUUAUUUUCCAAUUACUAAUAUUUUUAUUCGGAGUGAGAAUAUUCUGCAUAGGCACAUAAGGUCUGUUUUAUUGUGGCAACUAAAAAGGAUUAUUGUUCACAUACCACUGUUUUCAACUUAUAAUUUUGUUUUUAAAUUCUACUUUUCUUUCACUAAGAUGUUUUUCUAUUAUCUCUAUAUAUACAUAUAUAUACACACACACAUAAAUUCAUAAACACACACACAUAUAUGUAUAUAUAAAUUAUUUGCAUUUAGCCUGUGCUUUUUAAAAUAAAUUCCAGUGGUUGACAUCUAGCUCACAUGUUGUCAGGCAUUUUCCAUUUUAGUAAUUUAAUUUUCAUCUAUAUUAUUUCAUUGAAAUACACUUGAAUCAAAUAUGAAACUUUAAUAUGAAAGAUUCCAUUGGCUUUUCUUGCAAAAACCUUUAAUAUGAAAGAUGCCAUUGGCUUUGCUUUAUUAUUAUAACUAUAUAUAGUGUGAUAACUUUAUAUAUAUAUAGCAUUAUAAAACUACUAUAUUUGUGUGUUACAUAUAAUUUUUACAACAACUCUAUUAAGUGGUUUAUUAUUCUGAUUUUACAGGUGAAGAGAGCUUAGACAAAAAUAGAAAAAAUGACAUUUCCAAAAUUACCUUCUUGUAGGAGGCAGUUUCAGGAGUUGAAGAUGCUUUUAACUAUUAUGCUGUCUCAAUAUCAG
rnacentral:lncRNA from 10 species